rnacentral:misc_RNA from 1 species
GGCUCCAUUUGAGGCAUAUAGAAACAACAAAGCCUUAUGUGGUGAUGCUAGUAGUCUAAAGGCUUGUUUGUCUAUUAAAACAGGUAAAACCACUAAGAAAAAGAGAAAAAAAGUUGUCAUCCAGAUUGUACUUCUUGUUUCGGCGACUUCGUGUCUUGUGUUCUUGAUUGGAGGUUUCCUGAUUCUUCUUCGACGUAGAAAAAGACAUGCCCAGGCAAGGGAAUCAAAAGAUAAAGAUACAUUGGUGAUACCUGGUCAUGAUCCAGAAUUACAGUAUGAAAAAUCAUUGAGGCCACAAAGGAUUUCGACUCCAACUAUUGCAUUGGGGCAGGUGGAAGUGGAGUAGUUUAUAAACUUGUGCUGCCAUCAGGUCGACUGUUUGCGGUGAAAAAACUUCAUCCAUUACGGGAUGACAACUCAGGGAACUUGAGAGCUUUUGAAAGAGAGAUUCAAAUGUUGUUAGACAUUCGACAUCGAA